UUUGAAUUAUUUUUUUUCAACAUUGAUAUUGAAAAGAUGGUUGUUUAUUUUUGCCAAUGGAUAAUAUCUGUUUGCCUUCUCAAUAUUUAUCUUAUAGACGCCAAUAAUGACUACAUAUGGGUGGAGUAUCGAAACAAAGACUUUAUGCUUGUCCAUCAAAAAAUGACAUGGAUGGAAGCUCAGAGUGUAUGUUAUUCACUUGGCGGUUUUCUUGCAACUGUAUCAAAUUCUGAUGAAAUGAAAUUCAUCAAGGCUAUGACAAACGUAUACCCUAACACGGUUUGGUUGGGUGGUACAGACAUGUUUGCGGAAGGAAGAUGGGUAUGAAUAGAGAAUUUAGAGCCAAUUUCAUAUAACCGCUGGUAUAUGGGUAGUCAUCAACCAGCCGGAAAAUCGGUGGAGAAUUGUUUGAUUUGGCAUGAAAGCAACGGAUACUAUUGGCAUGAUGUAUCCUGCAAGUCUAACUACAAAUUUGUUUGUCAGCGAUAUACAAAGAGGAAAGAAAAAUGAACAGUGAAGAAAGAUGCCAUUAUAGGAUUCAAAUAAAAUAAAAGAAUAACACUG